UACGUAGGGAGCGAGCGUUGUCCGGAUUCAUUGGGCGUAAAGAGCUCGUAGGCGGUUCGAGUAAGUCGGGUGUGAAAUCUCCGUGCUCAACACGGAGCGGCCACCUGAUACUGCUGUGACUCGAGUCCGGUAGGGGAGUGUGGAAUUCCCGGUGUAGCGGUGAAAUGCGCAGAUAUCGGGAGGAACACCAGGUAGCGAAGGCGGCACUCUGGGC
rnacentral:rRNA from 1 species